rnacentral:lncRNA from 1 species
UAGGAGUUGGCGAGGUGCGGCCGGCCGGCCGGUCCUGCGCAUGCGUGAUACUUGCACCGGUCGAGAUGGUAGCAAGAGUCUGGAGGUCAUUUUCUUUGAGAAAGGCUCCGCUUCUCCGGGUUUUUGCUGAUGCCGAUCCCGGGGGAUUGAGGAAACAUCGAGCUCUGGAGUGGAAAAGAUCACUAAAAAGCUUCUCCUUGAAAAAUACUCAUAAGAUGCAACACACACACACACGUGUGUGCACUUACACACGCGGACACCGUCUCACAUCAUCAGUGGGAAAAGUGAUAGAAUCUUGCUAAAGGCUGAUCAUACCAUAUUAAUCCGAUUCGCCAGAACUACUUUCUUCACUGAGCUCUCAGGUAUGCUCGGGUCUUCCUUUAAAGAAAAUAAAUGUCAACGCUACACUCCAUCCUACUCCCAUAUUCCUCCUCACCCCAUUUCCACUCUCCCUUAAAGAGAUGUGUGCACACAAUCACUGCCCAAUGCAAGAAUGCACCACUGCAUCCAAUGCUUGGAAAUUGUCCGUGAGGAUGCCUUUGAGUAGCUGUCUAUUUGAGGAUUUGUGGCUAAUUCCUCCCCAUUUGUUUCCUUAGCCUGCUCCCAACCAGGUAUCUCCAGAACUUUUUCUCUCCGCCACCAACUCCGCCUCCAGACAGACCGCAGGUGCUUUCUGUCAUAGGGACUGGCGUGCCGCGGACAGUGUGACAAAGAAACUGCAUGAUGGAUAUGAGAAAUUCGUAAGACCCAGCAGCAAACGGGGAGCGGCUGGCGAGCGCUCCACAGCCCCCAAGUGUGGGAGCUCUAGAUCGGAAUUUGUAAUUUGGAAUUGGAACGUGAGCGCCGGAACAGCUCUCCC